rnacentral:rRNA from 1 species
UACGUAGGGUGCAAGCGUUGUCCGGAAUUAUUGGGCGUAAAGAGCUCGUAGGCGGUUUGUCGCGUCUGCUGUGAAAUCCCGAGGCUCAACCUCGGGCUUGCAGUGGGUACGGGCAGACUAGAGUGCGGUAGGGGAGAUUGGAAUUCCUGGUGUAGCGGUGGAAUGCGCAGAUAUCAGGAGGAACACCGGUGGCGAAGGCGGGUCUCUGGGCCGAAACUGACGCUGAGGAGCGAAAGCGUGGGGAGCAAACAGG